rnacentral:rRNA from 1 species
CAAUAGCGUAUAUUAAAGUUGCUGCAGUUAAAAAGCUCGUAGUUGGAUUUGUGGCGUACGGUGUGUUCCGGGCACUUGUUGUCUGAGUAACCUGCUGUUGCCAUCCUUGGGUGGAACCUGUGUGGCAUUAGGUUGUCGUGCAGGGGAUGCCCAUCAUUUACUGUGAAAAAAUUAGAGUGUUCAAAGCAGGCUUAUGCCGUUGAAUAUAUUAGCAUGGAAUAAUGAGAUAGGACUUUUUUGCUAUUUUGUUGGUUUGCGCAAGAAGGUAAUGAUUAAUAGGGACAGUUGGGGGUAUUCGUAUUCCAUUGUCAGAGGUGAAAUUCUUGGAUUUUUGGAAGACGAACUACUGCGAAAGCAUUUACCAAGGAUGUUUUCAUUAA